rnacentral:rRNA from 1 species
UACGAAGGGUGCAAGCGUUACUCGGAAUUACUGGGCGUAAAGCGUGCGUAGGUGGUGAGUUAAGUCUGAUGUGAAAUCCCCGGGCUCAACCUGGGAAUGGCAUUGGAUACUGGCUCGCUAGAGUGCGGUAGAGGGUGGUGGAAUUCCCGGUGUAGCAGUGAAAUGCGUAGAGAUCGGGGAGGAACAUCUGUGGCGAAGGCGGCCACCGUGGACCAACACUGACACUGAGGCACGAAAGCGUGGGGAAGCAAACAGGG